rnacentral:tRNA from 1 species
AAGGCCUUAGCUUAAUUAAAGCGUCUGAGUUGCAUUUAGAUGAUGCAGGUUAAUGUCCUGUGGGUCUUA